UGGCCUAAGUAUGUUACCUCUUGGCGAGC
rnacentral:sRNA from 1 species